UUGGAAAUUGCGCGUCAAAUCCGUUGGCUUCCUUCCUUGCGAGAUCUUUUGCUGUUUCGGCUUGCGAACGUGAGGAUUGCUCAUCAAUCGGGAUCCCUGAGGUCGAAAACGAAAGAGGGUAUCGCUCCAACCUUCGCAUUUCAUCGUCUUUUCUUGUGAAUGUUCAGCAGGGGCUCGUGACUCUGGUCAUUUUUGAGGAGGUUGGCAGGGACUGUUUUGCCCAUGUGUGCUAUUUGGUCGAAAUCUUGAAAAUUUGAGGGAAGUCAUUCCGUGGACUAGGCCUUGUAUUUGUCAUGCCAUAUUUGUUGAGGGCGGCACAGCACGUUCAACAGCAACUGCAAUACUCCAUCACCGUGGCAUUGAUCCCUCAACGUCGUUCCUGAUCGGUGCAGGAUUGCUGCUCACUUGGUGGGUGUGUGGCAUCU